CCCCGGCGCCACAAGUGGGGAUCGCUAUUAUUGGGUCUAAAGCGUUCGUAGCAGGUCUUGCAAAUUUUUUGUGAAAUUGUUGUUCUCAACAUAACAGAUUGCAGAAAAGACUACAAGACUUGGGACUGGAAGGGGUAAGCAGUAUUCUCGGGGGAGCGGUUAAAUGUUAUAAUCCCGAGAGGACUACCGAUGCCGAAGGGAGCUUACCAGUACAGAUCCGACUGUGAGGGACGAAAGCUAGGGGAGCGAAAAG
rnacentral:rRNA from 1 species